GACGAACGCUGGCGGCGUGCUUAACACAUGCAAGUCGAACGGAAAGGCCCUGCUUUUGUGGGGUGCUCGAGUGGCGAACGGGUGAGUAACACGUGAGUAACCUGCCCUUGACUUUGGGAUAACUUCAGGAAACUGGGGCUAAUACCGGAUAGGAGCUCCUGCUGCAUGGUGGGGGUUGGAAAGUUUCGGCGGUUGGGGAUGGACUCGCGGCUUAUCAGCUUGUUGGUGGGGUAGUGGCUUACCAAGGCUUUGACGGGUAGCCGGCCUGAGAGGAUGACCGGCCACAUUGGGACUGAGAUACGGCCCAGACUCCUACGGGAGGCAGCAGUGGGGAAUAUUGCACAAUGGGCGGAAGCCCGAUGCAGCAACGCCGCGUGCGGGAUGACGGCCUUCGGGUUGUAAACCGCUUUCGCCUGUGACGAAGCGUGAGUGACGGUAAUGGGUAAAGAAGCACCGGCUAACUACGUG
rnacentral:rRNA from 1 species